UACGUAGGGUGCAAGCGUUAAUCGGAAUUACUGGGCGUAAAGCGUGCGCAGGCGGUCUGUUAAGACCGAUGUGAAAUCCCCGGGCUUAACCUGGGAACUGCAUUGGUGACUGGCAGGCUUUGAGUGUGGCAGAGGGAGGUAGAAUUCCACGUGUAGCAGUGAAAUGCGUAGAGAUGUGGAGGAACACCGAUGGCGAAGGCAGCCCCCUGGGUUAACACUGACGCUCAGGCACGAAAGCGUGGGAGCAAACAGG
rnacentral:rRNA from 1 species